GGGUCAAGAAUAUCCAGAACAUCAAAAUUCUUCUUCGGUACGAACCUAAUUUGCAAGUUUCUCAACCAAUCCAUAUAGUUUAGAUCGAUCAACAUAUUUUUAUCUUUGAUUUUAUGCGGUGAAAAUAAAGAACCUAUAAUACAAAUUUAAAUCUACAUAAAUAAAGAACAAUAGUAUAAGCAGACCACUCAUGUUUGAUA
rnacentral:lncRNA from 1 species